rnacentral:rRNA from 1 species
AGAGUUUGAUCCUGGCUCAGGAUGAACGCUGGCGGCGUGCCUAAUACAUGCAAGUCGAACGAAGAUCUAGCUUGCUAGAUCUUAGUGGCGAACGGGUGAGUAAUACAUAAAUAAUCUGCCCAUUGGACUGGGAUAACUAUUGGAAACGAUAGCUAAUACCGGAUAGGUGAUUUGAAGGCAUCUUCGAAUCAUUAAAGUAGGGUCACUACACCAAUGGAUGAGUUUAUGGCGCAUUAGUUAGUUGGCGGGGUAACGGCCCACCAAGACGAUGAUGCGUAGCCGACCUGAGAGGGUGACCGGCCACACUGGGACUGAGACACGGCCCAGACUCCUACGGGAGGCAGCAGUAGGGAAUUUUCGGCAAUGGGCGCAAGCCUGACCGAGCAACGCCGCGUGAGUGAUUAAGGCCUUCGGGUUGUAAAGCUCUGUUGUAAGGGAAGAACAUUCAGGAUAGGAAAUGAUCUUGAACUGACGGUACCUUACCAGAAAGCCACGGCUAACUACGUGCCAGCAGCCGCGGUAAUACGUAGGGAGCGAGCGUUAUCCGGAAUUAUUGGGCGUAAAGGGUGCGUAGGCGGUUUAUUAAGUCUAUGGUGAAAGUGCGGGGCUCAACCCCGUAUGGCCAUAGAAACUAGUAGACUUGAGUGCAGGAGAGGGCAAUGGAAUUCCAUGUGUAGCGGUAAAAUGCGUAGAUAUAUGGAGGAACACCAGUGGCGAAGGCGGCUACCUGGCCUGUAACUGACGGUCAAGCACGAAAGCGUGGGGAGCAAAUAGGAUUAGAUACCCUAGUAGUCCACGCUGUAAACGAUGAAUGCUGGGUAUCGGGGAGACUCGGUGCCGUAACUAACGCGAUAAGCAUUCCGCCUGUGGAGUAUGCACGCAAGUGUGAAACUCAAAGGAAUUGACGGGACCCCGCACAAGCGGUGGAUUAUGUUGUUUAAUUCGACGCAACGCGAAGAACCUUACCAGGCCUUGACAUCCCUUGCAAAAUCCU